CAAUGUUUCAGUCCCUCUCAGGGACUUUCCUCAGGAUCUCAAUAAUGAUCCACAAUAAUGAUUCCUCAGGAUCACAAUAAUUAUUGUGAUCCUGAGGAAAGUCCCUGAGAGGGACUGAAACGUU